UGCAGUUGAUACUGGAUAUCUUGAGUGCAGUUGAGGCAGGCGGAAUUCGUGGUGUAGCGGUGAAAUGCUUAGAUAUCACGAAGAACUCCGAUUGCGAAGGCAGCCUGCUAAGCUGCAACUGACAUUGAGGCUCGAAAGUGUGGGUAUCAAACAGGAUUAGAUACCCUGGUAGUCCACACGGUAAACGAUGAAUACUCGCUGUUUGCGAUAUACUGCAAGCGGCCAAGCGAAAGCGUUAAGUAUUCCACCUGGGGAGUACGCCGGCAACGGUGAAACUCAAAGGAAUUGACGGGGGCCCGCACAAGCGGAGGAACAUGUGGUUUAAUUCGAUGAUACGCGAGGAACCUUACCCGGGCUUAAAUUGCAGAUGAAUUACGGUGAAAGCCGUAAGCCGCAAGGCAUCUGUGAAGGUGCUGCAUGGUUGUCGUCAGCUCGUGCCGUGAGGUGUCGGCUUAAGUGCCAUAACGAGCGCAACCCUUGUUGUCAGUUACUAACAGGUUCCGCUGAGGACUCUGACAAGACUGCCAUCGUAAGAUGUGAGGAAGGUGGGGAUGACGUCAAAUCAGCACGGCCCUUACGUCCGGGGCUACACACGUGUUACAACGGGGGGUACAGAGGGCCGCUACCACGCGAGUGGAUGCCAAUCCCCAAAACCUCUCUCAGUUCGGACUGGAGUCUGCAACCCGACUCCACGAAGCUGGAUUCGCUAGUAAUCGCGCAUCAGCCACGGCGCGGUGAAUACGUUCCCGGGCCUUGUACACACCGCCCGUCAAGCCAUGGGAGCCGGGGGUACCUGAAGUGCGUAAACGCGAGGAGCGCCCUAGGGUAAAACUGGUGACUGGC
rnacentral:rRNA from 1 species